GCGGACGGGUGAGUAACACGUGGAUAACCUACCUAUAAGACUGGGAUAACUUCGGGAAACCGGAGCUAAUACCGGAUAAGAUUUUGAACCGCAUGGUUCAAUAGUGAAAGACGGCCUUGCUGUCACUUAUAGAUGGAUCCGCGCCGUAUUAGCUAGUUGGUAAGGUAACGGCUUACCAAGGCAACGAUACGUAGCCGACCUGAGAGGGUGAUCGGCCACACUGGAACUGAGACACGGUCCAGACUCCUACGGGAGGCAGCAGUAGGGAAUCUUCCGCAAUGGGCGAAAGCCUGACGGAGCAACGCCGCGUGAGUGAUGAAGGUCUUCGGAUCGUAAAACUCUGUUAUCAGGGAAGAACAAACGUGUAAGUAACUGUGCACGUCUUGACGGUACCUGAUCAGAAAGCCACGGCUAACUACGUGCCAGCAGCCGCGGUAAUACGUAGGUGGCAAGCGUUAUCCGGAAUUAUUGGGCGUAAAGCGCGCGUAGGCGGUUUUUUAAGUCUGAUGUGAAAGCCCACGGCUCAACCGUGGAGGGUCAUUGGAAACUGGAAAACUUGAGUGCAGAAGAGGAAAGUGGAAUUCCAUGUGUAGCGGUGAAAUGCGCAGAGAUAUGGAGGAACACCAGUGGCGAAGGCGACUUUCUGGUCUGUAACUGACGCUGAUGUGCGAAAGCGUGGGGAUCAAACAGGAUUAGAUACCCUGGUAGUCCACGCCGUAAACGAUGAGUGCUAAGUGUUAGGGGGUUUC
rnacentral:rRNA from 1 species